AUUGAACGCUGGCGGCAGGCCUAACACAUGCAAGUCGAACGAGUGGCGGACGGGAGAGUGAUGAUUGAGAAUCGGGGUUAUGGCGGGGGAUAAGGACGGGAAACUGUAGAUAAUAGCGCGUACUGCAGGCUGAGCCCAAGUGGGAUGAGGUAGUUGGUGAGGGAAAGGCUCACCAAGCACACGAUCUCUAGCGUGUCUGAGAGGACGACAGGCCACACUGGAACUGAUACACGGCCCAGACUCCUACGGGAGGCAGCAGUGGGGAAUAUGGGACAAGGGGGGAAACCGGACGCAGCCAUGCCGCGUGAAUGAAGAAGGUCUUCGGUUUGUAAAGUUCUUUCGGUAGCGAGGCGUUACCUACAGAGGAAGCACCGGCUAACUCCGUGCCAGCAGCCGCGGUAAUAC
rnacentral:rRNA from 1 species